rnacentral:lncRNA from 1 species
AAUAAACAAGAUUCACAGAGGAGACACAUUCUGGGCACAUGAAUGGUCUGAGCUCUGUGGAUGACACUAGAUUCAGAACUAACAUAUAAUUUAUUCUAUGUCCUGAAUCUAUAAUCUCUCAAGGAGGGAGGUGAGAAAAUGGACACAGUCACUGUGGGCGAGCCCUCAUCCAGUGGCUGAUGGAAGCAGAGACAGACAUCCACAGAUAUACACUGAGCUGAAAUCUGGAAUUUAGUUGGAGAGAGGGAGGAAUGAAGAGUGAAGGGGUCUGUACCAGGUUGGAGAAACCCACAGGAACAAUUGGCCUGAACAAGGGACAGCACAUCGACUCCAGAUGCUGUUGGGGAGGCCAGUACAAGAUUGAUCCAGACCCCUGAACAUGGAUGUCAAUAAGGAGGCCUCUGCACUCCAGGGAGCCUCUGGUAGUGGAUUAGUAUUUUUUCCUGGUGUGAGAAGGGACUUUGAGAGUCCAUCCCAUGUGAAGGGUUACACUCUGGCCCUGGACACAUGGGGAAGGGCCCAGGCCCAGCACAGGAAGAUUUGGUGGACUUUGCAGAGCCCCCGUUGAGGGCCCUACCCUGCCUGGGGAGUG